GCCUGGAGUCUCUGGAGAAGAUGAUAGAAUGUGAUACUGUUGCUCUCCAGGGAACUGAAGGGUGUUGGAUCUACAUCCUAUGAUUCAAUGCCAAACUAUGGUAUGAGGUUCUAGGCAUUUCCUAAUGUCUCUGUUUUCUUUUAAGCAGGAGUUGCAGUUACCAUGGAUAUGUGUAGUGAAUGGAAGAGGAAGAGGAUGAGAAGGCUUGUGCCAUGGUGAUGUCUGGGCAUUUAGACAGCAGUCCUAUCAGACUACUGUAGCCAGUUAAACCCAAACUCAGAUACUCAAACUCAGCAGAAGAAGAAAGUGCACAUACAGUUCCCAAACAGUCUCCGGAUUCAAGUGCAGAUGAAUACAACUUAAUGUAACAGCACUUACAUCUUCCAUCUGUCUCUGGGCUCCUGUGGAUAAACAGUGAAGGCUGUCUGGAACCGCCCUAUGUCCCACGGUAGCAGAGAUCCAAAAAGAGCCAUUUUCCUGGAGGCAGAAACAAAACUACAGAAGCUUUACAGGUAGCUGGGGAGAAAGCAGUGGGUCUGACUUUGCCGACAGAAAAAGUGAUCUUGGAGAGAAGCACAGUCUGACUUUUUAUUGGGAAAGUCAUUCAGGUGGAAAACUGCUGAUCAGUUAUACCCUCGUGAUGUUUCAAUGGAGUUUGACUGUCUUAUUUUCUAACUCCCAGUGCUAGCUUCAGGUGUCUGGGGGAGAAGUUCCUUGCUGGGAAAUGGAUGACUCUGUCAUGCUGCUGCUGGCUGAUCCUCCACCCCCACCACACUGAUGACUUCUUAAAAUUACAGCUGAUUUCUCAGGAGCAAAUUGUAUGGUUUUGUAUGAGGGCUGCAUCUGCUGAAUGUUAAAUAGAUUUUGUGUGUACCGGUGUCAGGAGACAGAAAGAAUAAAUAGUCCCUAAGCAGACA
rnacentral:lncRNA from 1 species